rnacentral:sRNA from 2 species
CCCAGAGGUAUUGAUUGGUGAGAAUUCCUGGUACGUUUUCGUACUCUUCUCUUGCACCAACCUGCGCGGAUGCGCAGGUUUUUUUU